rnacentral:lncRNA from 1 species
ACUGACUCACUCAAUCAGUGUGUCUUGUUAUUCCAUCUGUCUUGUUACUCCUUUGUUUCCUGGCAACUUUAAAAUCCCUCUUAAAAGACAACCCAAAACAAGUCUGAUUUAGAAAAUAAAGAAGUGAAAGGCAGUGAUGAGGAUAUUUACACAAAUUGCUCGAAAGGUCGUGUUUAUGACAACUGGGGGUGUGAUGCAACACCAUUCUC